rnacentral:rRNA from 1 species
UCUACGGGUGGCAGCAGUGAGGAAUAUUGGUCAAUGGACGAGAGUCUGAACCAGCCAAGUAGCGUGAAGGAUGACUGCCCUAUGGGUUGUAAACUUCUUUUAUAAAGGAAUAAAGUGAGGCACGUGUGCCUUUUUGUAUGUACUUUAUGAAUAAGGAUAGGCUAACUCCGUGCCAGCAGCCGCGGUAAUACGGAGGAUCCGAGCGUUAUCCGGAUUUAUUGGGUUUAAAGGGAGCGUAGAUGGGUUGUUAAGUCAGUUGUGAAAGUUUGCGGCUCAACCGUAAAAUUGCAAUUGAUACUGGCAGUCUUGAGUACAGUUGAGGUAGGCGGAAUUCGUGGUGUAGCGGUGAAAUGCUUAGAUAUCACGAAGAACUCCGAUUGCGAAGGCAGCUUACUAAACUGCCACUGACAUUGAUGCUCGAAAGUGUGGGUAUUAAACAGGAUUAGAUACCCUUGUAGUC